AACGCGAAGAACCUUACCUGGGUUUGACAUGCUUGGAUGAUUGCCGGGAAACCGGUUAAUCUGCCCCUCGGGGUGAAACUUGCACAGGUGCUGCAUGGCUGUCGUCAGCUCGUGUCGUGAGAUGUCGGGUUAAGUCCUUUAACGAGCGAAACCCUUGCCGUUAGUUGCCAGCGGGUCAUGCCGGGGACUCUAACGGGACUGCCGGUGUUAAACCGGAGGAAGGUGGGGACGACGCCAAGUCAUCAUGGCCUUUAUGCCCAGGGCCUCACACGUGCUACAAUGGCGGCAACAAAGCGACGCAAGACCGUGAGGUGGAGCAAAUCGCAAAAAUGCUGCCCCAGUUCGGAUUGCAGGCUGGCAACUCGCCUGCAUGAAGUUGGAAUCGCUAGUAAUCGCGUAUCAGCUAUGACGCGAUGAAUGUGUUCCUGAGCCUUGUACACACCGCCCGUCAAGUGAUGGGAGUUGGGAGUACCCGAAGUCGGGUUGCUAACCCCUCGGGGAAGCGCCUGCCGACGGUAAGCCCGAUGACUGGCACUAAGUCGUAACAAGGUAACCUUAAUUAAAA
rnacentral:rRNA from 1 species